GCCAAACUCAAUAUGAUGGAUAAUGCCAGUCGCUGGGCUUUCGCCCACUCACCGCCCGUGCACCUCAGCGCAGCGUCCCUGCUCCUGCAGUUCGCGUGAGAAAGCGGAGCUCCGGCAUGGAGGGGUGGGCUUGGUCUUCGGGACAAUCCUAAAUCUGCCUGGUCAGUCAAUUGAAGGCAGCAGCCCCUGGAAAGACAAGUGUCUUAAACGCUGCAGAACAAAGAGCGAACCCACAGCAAAUUGAAAUUCCCUUGAAGAAUCUCCCUUUCUGAGUAAUGACUGUAAAGGCAGCUGAAGUCUUCAGUUCUUUGGCACGCAACAACCAAACACCUGUCACACACCUUCAAACCAGGUGCUGCAGCUUUCCUCUACGGGUCCCCGAACACCAGCUCUGAGGAUGUGGCCCCAAGGCCUCCUGCUCCUGAGAGGAGAUGAAUACACUCAAUCAAACCAGUGCUCUCUGUCCUGGCCCUGUAUUAACCCGCUGAAGAAUGGCAGCAAAUCAGUAGUUUGAUUAUGUAAAGUAAAACCACAGGAGGUGCAUGCAUGGUACAUAGGCACGUAGUAGUGUUAAAUCCUGCUUAAAUCCUGCAUGCAGGACAAGAUGGUACAGGAGAUACGGGCAGGAAAUAUCAGAGUGGCAUGCACAGACAUACCUCUCUGUUCUCAGUGUUCUCUACUUGUUUUCGCUUUCGUCAGAUUUUAUGAGGUUUGCCAGAUUGGAGUAAAAAGCUGAUUUGGCUGUUUUUUUUGUGGUAUUGAUGAAGGUAUUUGUUUGGGGAAUGGGGAUACAUUUACAUGAUGGGAAAUUAAUUAAUUAAUACAUGUGGGGAAACAGAAGACAUGUUUGGUUUAAAUUCCCCUGGUGCAACUGCAUGGUAUUUGCAACUAUAAUGAGUCUGGACUAUGAUCAAUUAACCAUAUUAAUGCAGUUAAACAGGUUAAUGUAAAAUAAUGAAUUAUGUUGCCUUACACAUAUGGCACUUCCAAGGCCGUUUCAUGAUGAUUAUUACGGUCGUGUCAAUCAUGUUAUAUACUUAGGCUAUUGUAACACACCAUAUGCCAGCAUUGUAGGCCUACUGCCUCUGCCCAGAGGCCUACUUUCAUGGCAACGGCUGUUGCUAACUUUUCCACGUAUGAGCGCUGGUUAGAGCCUGUUGCAGAUUUCACUCUCUUCCGCUGUGUUGGUGGCAGCGUUGGGAUCACAUCCAGCUCUCAUCUAGUUAUGUUAUGUGGGAAGCAUUCUGUUUUUCAACAUUGUGUUGGGUGUAAUUACAUUGAUAUAUCUUGUGAACAAUGAAUAAGCAGCAAUGGGUGUGACAGAGAAAUAGUCACUACAGGUGUGAUCAAGCCUUACAUCAAAAUUGCCUGAAGCGGAAUGGAAAAUGCUAUGUCCUGACCAGUUGUUCAGGAGAAAAUCCUCUGUGAUUGUCUAAUUUACCAGUGUGGACCCAAAACAAACACAUUCUACACAUUUACAAAGGAGCUGUUUAAAGUGUUGUUACAACCAUGGUGUUCUGUUGUUACUGAAGCAUAUACAUCUAAUAACCUGACAAUGAUCCACAUCAUAUGGGUAGACAAAUAAUGUAAGUGUGUUGUCCUUUUUUUAGGAUGCAAAUCAAUAAUAUGAAUCACUGUUGAUCCAUCCUGUUCUGAUCUAAUGAGAUGGAUGUAGGAUUUUCUAGGCUUAGAAUCGAGACCUUUUCCAGUCAUGAAGGAAAAAGCUAGGCACCUCUUGGUUCUCAUUGGUGAAGACAAAUACUACUUGAGUAAAAGUCUAAAAGUAUUUGGUUUUAAAUAUACCUAAGUAUCAAAAGUAAAUGCAAUUGCUAAAAUAUACUUGAGUAAAAGUAUAAAUUAUUUCAAAUUCCUUAUAUUAAUGUAACGUCUGCUUCCAAUUCACACUCAAACACGUAGAUCCCCUGAACGCAGCUCACUCUCCAGAUCCCAAUCACUUGAAUUCUGAUCACCUGUUCACACACCUGUAUGUCAUUAUCACACACUAUUUAGUUCAGUUCUUUGCACCCCAUCAUUGUGAGGUAUUGUUUGUUUUGUGACACACUUCUAUUCAGAGAUCUGUUUUUCCCAUAAUUUAAUCCUCCCGUGUAUGAAAGUGAGGCAGGCAAAAACUAACAAUGCCUUUUGCCUAUUCCCUGCUUGUACUUCAGCCUAUCGGAUUUCCUGUUAUCUAUUUCCUGAUCACCCGGACGACGUUACUAGCCUUUUCGCUGCCUGUACUGUUGCCUUUUUGGACCUCCUGUGUAUGACCUUCUGCCUGCCCCUGGACCCAGCUACCUGUCUCCUCCUGUGGUCCUUUACAAAUUAACACCUACUGCACCCUGUGCUUGAAACCAGCUCUGUCUCCCAUCGUGUUCAUUACAAUUAAGCUAACCAGACGGCGCAAUUUUUUAUCUCCUGUCUUGCUAAGCAUUCAAAAUGUAAGGAGUAAUAUUGGGUGUCAGAGAAAAUAUAUGGAGUAAAAAGUACAUCAUUUUCUUUAGGAAUGUAGUAAAGUCAAAGUCAAAAAUAUAAAUAGGAAAGUACAGAUACCCCAAAAAACAACUUAAGUAGCACUUUAAUGCGUUAUAUGUCAGACUCUCUCAUACCACUUUGCCCAACAUGUUAUACACCAGAGGAUGUAAAUAUACCCUUUUUAAAGUGAUAACUUGUACCAUUAUUAAAGGGCUGUGAAACCCAUAGCCGAAUGGCUUCAGACUGACCAUUUCUCACUGGAAAUUGCUGCUGACAUUGAACAUAA